AUUUAAAUAGCUUAUUAAGAGCAUGAUAUUGAAGAUAUCAAGGAAAUAAUUUAUUAUUUUUAAAUA
rnacentral:tRNA from 1 species